UUUCCUCUCUCUUAUCUUCUUUAUUUCUAAAUUUCUUUUGUAUUUUUUCCCUUGUCCGUAUUUUCUUAAUUUCUCAUCCCCUUAAAAAAAAUCAAUCUUUCUUCUUCUUCUUUCAAAUUCAGGUCUGCAGAUUCAAAGAGGUCCUGGAUCAUUUCCAAGUAAGACAAUAAUCUUACUCUACUACUUGAUUAACUGAUUUUACAUUUCACUUUUCUUUUGCAUCGAUGUAGUUAAUAAUUGUGUUAUCAAUUUUUCGAACUAGUUCUUCAUUGUCUCUUUUUUAACUUUAUAGUUAAGAUAAAUAUUGAUAGGUUUAUAACUUUAUAUUGGCUUAUGUGAUCUUCAGAAUUUGGAUAACUAUUUUUUUUAAUGUUUCCAUCAAUGUUCACUUUUAAAAAAGUUUGCAACUUUAUACUGUCCACGAGUUUCAUACUACUUAAUGAGUUAUUGUUACUUUCUUAGUGUGUGUUCUUUCCUAUGUUAAUAUGUUUUACUUGUAUCUCAGAAACAUACAAUUUUUUUUAUCAUAUUAACUAUCAGGAGUCAGGACUUGUUAAUUUAAUUAAUGAUACUUACUACUAAAUCAUUGAAGAUCGAAAACCCAUUGUUAAAGGUUCAAAAUCUUACCUGCAGCAAUUGAAGGAGAAUUAGAAGCUGCUAUAUUUAGGGCAGGAGGUAUCCAUAACGGUAAUUUUGGGGAUCUUUACAAAAUUGGGUGGACUAGAAGUAGCAGAACUGAUAAAGGUGUAAGUGAUAUAUAUAUAGUUUCAUAAUCAUUAAUGCUAAACGACAUAUGUAAAGUUUUUUUUAAAAUUGAGGUAUAUAUUCGAUAUCUGUAACUGUAAAUCUCUAAUACUAAUUUGGUAUUAUGGAUCAGCACUGAAAGCAUUUUUGUAGGAUGUCAAAUAUAUAUCUUCAUUGAAAUUUGAAAUAAAAAAAUGGUUCAUUUGUUAGUCGUUACCCGGGAGUAGGAUCUAGGGGCAAUUUUUUUUUACCUGCUUUACAAAAUUCGCACCAUGCCUGAGACCCGCUGAUCCGCUGUUAUUUUGGAGAAGGAAUGAAGGAUGAAUCACAUCAUUCGCCUUAUAUUCUGAACCGCUCCGUUCACCCUUAUUUUUCAGGAGGCAGGCUUCUCUAUUCUUAUCUCUAGUUCCUACAAGAGAAGCCAAAA
rnacentral:lncRNA from 1 species